rnacentral:rRNA from 1 species
AUUUCAAGAAUACUUUAAAUUCUAUAGAUAAAAUAUAACAAUUUUAUUUAUUAUCAAUCAAAAUUAAAUCUUUAAAUCCCUAGUAAAACAGAACAGAAAAGAAAAUUAAAAGAAAAAAGUAACGCAAGUGAACUUAAAAUAAAAACAAAAAAGUAGGCAUUUAUUACCGUACCUUUAGCAUCAUGGUUAAAUAAAAAAAACAAAAGAUAAUUAACCCGAAAUAAAAAUGAUCUAUUUUUUUACAAGAAGUUUAUGUAGCAAUAUAAUUUUAAGAUAAAAAAAUAGAGGUGAUAUUCCAAUCGCAUUUUAAGAUAGCUGGUUCUUCAAAAAAUACAUAUAAGUGUUACAGUAGUUUUUUUUAAAAUUAAAACUAUAAAAACAAAAAAACUACUAGUCAUAAAAUCAAGGAUAAGCUUGAUUUUUUGUUGUGAAAAUAUUUUUUUUACUUACAAAAUAGGUUUAAAAUCAACCACUUAAAGAAAUCGUUAUAGAUCAGUUAAAUAAAAUAAAAAAUAAUUAAUGAAUUUUCCUAUAAACUAUUGAAGCAUAUUGAAAAAUUAAGUAAUCAACUAAAGAGAAUUUUUAAACAAGUAAUCUUUUAAGAAAAUUAUCACUUUAACAAUUAAACAAAUGAAAAAACUAAAUUAAAAAAGAUAAAAUAAAAAAAAGGAACUCGGCAAAAACUUAUUCCACCUGUUUACCAAAAACAUGGCUCCUUGAAAGAAAUAAGGAGUCAGGCCUGCUCAAUGAUUUUUACAAUUAAAUAGCCGCGGUACCCUGACCGUGCAAAGGUAGCAUAAUCACUUGCCUCUUAAUUGGUGGCUAGUAUGAAUGGUUUAAUGAGAAUAAUACUGUCUCUUUUUUUAAUCUAUCGAAACUACCUACUAGGUGAAAAGGCCUAGAUAUUUAUGUAAGACAAUAAGACCCUAUCGAGCUUUAGGUUAAAAUCUACUAUAAAAAACCAAAAAGAAAUAACACCUUUAGUUGGGGCGACUAAGGAACAAACAAAGCUUCCUUCAAUAAAAACACCAACAAGUUACGACCCGAAAAAUAUUCGAUAAAAGAAAAAAGUUACCGUAGGGAUAACAGCGUAAUUUUCUUUGUGAGCUCUUAUUAAAAAGAAAGUUUGCGACCUCGAUGUUGGAUUAAGGUAUCCUAAAGACGCAACAGUCUUUAAGGGUUGGUUUGUUCAACCAUUAAAACCUUACAUGAUCUGAGUUCAAACCGGCGUAAGCCAGGUUGGAUUAUAUCUAUAAAAAACCUAAAAAAUAGUACGAAAGGACCUUUUUUAGAAAAAAAUUUUACAAAACUAAUACAUUUUAAUUAUUAUUAAAGUUAAAUUGGCAGAAUAGUGCAGUUGACUUAGGAUCAAAA